rnacentral:lncRNA from 1 species
GGAGAAAGAGAAAGGAUGAGGGAGAAGCAUGUCUCCUACUCAGGGUGAGACAAACCACGGGGAGCACUGGCUGGGGGCCUCCCAGACAGAAAACCUCUGAAGAGGGGUGAACCCACAACUGGCCCUAAUCCUGAAAGUCAUUAGAGGCCAUCUGAGAAAGUGGGGCAUUUAGCCGGUCAAGUUCAUCCACUUGGGGUGGGUGGUACAUUAGUAUCUCCUGGUCCUCUAAGACGUCUUCUCCAGCAGCUACCAGAUUAGUGAGGGAUUUGCUUCGAACACACUGGAAAUCCACAUGGCGACUCUUUCCUUCUUCCUUUUCCCACGACAUCUGGAUAAAGGGGCGCUGCACAUAAUUAUAGAUUACUUCAGAUCGGCCACCAGGUCUUCUCUUAAUUUUUUCUUUACAGGUAGGGUAACCUUCAAUUCCAAUGCGAAUGUUUUUCAGGCCCCGCUCCUUUAACACUGUUUUGGCGACAUCCCGAUUCUCAAUGUACUUGAAGAAUCUGUAGAGCUUAGAGCUGUAAAGAAUUUGGGAAUAUUCCUCCCCCAUGGGUGGGGGGUGGUCUUCAUCCCAGUCCACAGAAUCCUCAUCUGUCAGCACAACGAUAUGGCACUCGCGCUCACCCUUCUUGGCACAGCCCACCAUGAUGGGCAGGAUCAGCUCUUCGAGGUAGUGAUCAAACUGCUUGUGAGCACCGUCGUUAGACAGUUCAUGCAGUAAAGCACUCAGAUCCUGACAUCGGAUAGUGUUGAAGUCAAAGUUAAUGCAGAGAUAAUCGCACGUGUCUCUAAGGUCUGGGAUAGAGAUGCCAUCAGGACAAUUGAUGAUACCAGUUUUGUAAUAAUCCAGCACCGUUUGAAACACAGCUGCACUGAUUCCUUCAGCAAUCUCAUACUCCCCCUUCUCGUUGGGCCGCGUGAAGUUGUACUCUCUUCCUGGUCCAAACAUCCUUCCCAACAUGGUAUCUGGAUGAGCAGUGAAAAUUUGUGGAUUCACAACAAAACGUGUGCCAUCUACGAGAAGAGUCACUUUCUCUGGUGCCUGGGAAUGAACAUUACUGCCAAAGCCCACAGUGCUGUUUCCAAAUCGUUCUGGAGCAAGAAAGGGGUCAUCAUUCCUGGGACCUAGAGGAUAAGCAAGGGUUUGAAGACCAGAAGAAGUCAGAUUAUUUGUUUCUUUUUCUUGGGCUGCAGCUGAGGUUUCAUCCAUCAGGCAGCUGGCCUCUGGCCGCAGGAACCUGUCACUCUCACUGCCACAGUGAACGUUCAUCCUUGGACUCUGUAUCCUGAACUGUCUGCUUGAUCAGAAAGAAGUCCAUGGUUCAAUUCUGUAACCAUCCCCCAAAUGAAUCUUGGUCCUCAGAACAGAUCUGCCGCUCCCCGCCGCUCGGGCCCGAACCCGCCCGGGAGGCGCGCACUCGGCGCCGCGAGCAGCCGCCGCGGGGACCGGCCUUGCCGCAGCGGCGCUCCCCGCCCC